UACGUAGGGUGCAAGCGUUGUCCGGAAUUAUUGGGCGUAAAGAGCUCGUAGGCGGUUUGUUGCGUCGGCUGUGAAAUCCCGAGGCUCAACCUCGGGUCUGCAGUCGAUACGAGCAAACUAGAGUGUUGCAGGGGAGACUGGAAUUCCUGGUGUAGCGGUGAAAUGCGCAGAGUAUCAGGAGGAACACCGGUGGCGAAGGCGGGUCUCUGGGCAAACAACUGACGCUGAGGAGCGAAAGCCGUGGGGAGCGAACAGG
rnacentral:rRNA from 1 species